rnacentral:tRNA from 1 species
GGGAAGGUAAUUUAAUGGUAAAAUAAUGGUCUCCAAAAUCAUUUUUCGCGGUUCAAGUCCUCGCCUUCUUG